rnacentral:misc_RNA from 1 species
UUGAAAUAAACCUGAUGGGUUGUUGCUGGCUCUCUAGGGAGCAUGUGCACGCCUUGUCAUUUUUAUAUCUCCACCUGUGCACCUUUUGUAGACCCAGGGAUAUCUUUCCAGGGGUCUAUGUUGCUUCUUCAUUUACCCCAAUGUAUGUCAAUAGAAUGUUGUGCCCAUGAUAAAAAUCUAUA